CCAAUAGCGUAUAUUAAAGUUGUUGCAGUUAAAAAGCUCGUAGUUGAAUUUCGGGGUCAGUAGGUCGGUCGUGCCACUGGUAUGAACUGGUUUUACUGAUUCCUCACUCUUGAAGAACUGUAAUGCCAUUAAUUUGGUGUUGCAGGGAAUCAGGACUGUUACUUUGAAAAAAUUAGAGUGUUUAAAGCAGGCUUUAGCUUGAAUACAUUAGCAUGGAAUAAUGAAAUAGGACGUUUGAUCCUAUUUUGUUGGUUUCUAGGAUUGACGUAAUGAUUAAUAGGGAUAGUUGGGGGCAUUAGUAUUCAAUUGCCAGAGGUGAAAUUCUUGGAUUUAUUGAAGACUAACUACUGCGAAAGCAUUUGCCAAGGAUGUUUUCAUUAAUCAAGAACGAAAGUUAGGGGAUCGAAGACGAUCAGAUACCGUCGUAGUCUUAACCAUAAACUAUGCCGGCUAGGGAUCGGAUGAUGUUAAUUUUUUAAUGACUCAUUCGGCGCCUUACG
rnacentral:rRNA from 1 species